rnacentral:rRNA from 1 species
AGUGAACGCUGGCGGUAGGCCUAACACAUGCAAGUCGAACGGCAGCACAGUAAGAGCUUGCUCUUACGGGUGGCGAGUGGCGGACGGGUGAGGAAUACAUCGGAAUCUACUUUUUCGUGGGGGAUAACGUAGGGAAACUUACGCUAAUACCGCAUACGACCUACGGGUGAAAGCAGGGGAUCUUCGGACCUUGCGCGAUCGAAUGAGCCGAUGUCGGAUUAGCUAGUUGGCGGGGUAAAGGCCCACCAAGGCGACGAUCCGUAGCUGGUCUGAGAGGAUGAUCAGCCACACGGGAACUGAGACACGGUCCAGACUCCUACGGGAGGCAGCAGUGGGGAAUAUUGGACAAUGGGCGCAAGCCUGAUCCAGCCAUACCGCGUGGGUGAAGAAGGCCUUCGGGUUGUAAAGCCCUUUUGUUGGGAAAGAAAAGCAGCAGGUUAAUACCCCGCUGUUCUGACGGUACCCAAAGAAUAAGCACCGGCUAACUUCGUG